GACGAACGCUGGCGGCGUGCUUAACACAUGCAAGUCGAACGGAAAGGCCCUGCUUUUGUGGGGUGCUCGAAUGGCGAAAGGGUGAGUAACACGUGAGUAACCUGCCCUUGACUUUGGGAUAACUUCAGGAAACUGGGGCUAAUACCGGAUAGGAGCUCCUGCUGCAUGGUGGGGGUUGGAAAGUUUCGGCGGUUGGGGAUGGACUCGCGGCUUAUCAGCUUGUUGGUGGGGUAGUGGCUUACCAAGGCUUUGACGGGUAGCCGGCCUGAGAGGGUGACCGGCCACAUUGGGACUGAGAUACGGCCCAGACUCCUACGGGAGGCAGCAGUGGGGAAUAUUGCGCAAUGGGCGGAAGCCUGAUGCAGCAACGCCGCGUGCGGGAUGACGGCCUUCGGGUUGUAAACCGCUUUCGCCUGUGACGAAGCGUGAGUGACGGUAAUGGGUAAAGAAGCACCGGCUAACUACGUG
rnacentral:rRNA from 1 species